UACGUAGGGGGCAAGCGUUGUCCGGAUUUAUUGGGCGUAAAGAGCGUGUAGGCGGCCAUACAGGUCAGCUGUGAAAACUCGAGGCUCAACCUCGAGACGUCGGUUGAAACCGUAUGGCUAGAGUCCGGAAGAGGAGAGUGGAAUUCCCGGUGUAGCGGUGAAAUGCGUAGAGAUGUGGAGGAACACCGAUGGCGAAGGCAGCCUCCUGGGCCAGCACUGACGCUCAGGCACGAAAGCAUGGGGAGCAAAAGGG
rnacentral:rRNA from 1 species